GCAAGAGAACAAGCUCAAAUGCCUAAAAAAAUUUUUUUAUAUUUCUGCUUGAAUACCAUUUGGUAAUAUUCCAUUUGCCAGAGUAAGUCACAGGGCCAAGCCAGAGUCCAUGUGAGAGGGCACAACCAACUGAGCAAUGGUAUGGACAUGAGAAGUUAAAUUACUGCAGGCCUUCUUAUACAAAAACUCAUAUAUUCACACAUAAAAACUUUUUUUCACCUAUUAAAUUUUAUCUUUUGGACUUAAUUCAUAAAUAAAAUCUGAUAGUCUCAUUCUUUUGGUGCUGUUUAUAAGAAAAACAUUGCUAUCAAAUAUGAUAUCUAAUAUAUGCACAUUCAUGUCUACCAUCUUAAUAUAUGUUUUCAUUUUACCCUGCUUUUUUAUUUUUAGUCUUUUUCUGCCUUUAAAACAAUGUAUUGACUUGUACAUAUUUAUCUGCUAUUGGCCUGAGAAAUACAUACUUUAUUUGUACUAUUUUAGAAGUUAUCUUUAAAAUUAUAACUUAUUAAAUUGAAAAACUGUGCAAAAUUAAGAACUAUCUCAACCAUCCUCCAAAUAAAUCAAAGCUGUUUAUGAAUACUUAACUCCCCCGACCUUUCAAGCAUUACAUGUUAUUGUUGCUUAAUAUUUUAGUUUUGUUUUAUAUUCCCAGAUUUGCCAUCUUUCUUACUACUUUUUACAGUGUUUGCUCUAUUCAUCUACAUUUAUUAAAUUCUUUGCUUACCAUUCUUUCAUUUUUUGUUGCUUUUUUUUUAAUGACAACUUUAUUGAGAUACAAUCACAUAUCAAAACCCAGCUGUUCAGGAGGUUGAGACAGGGAGGAUUGCUUGAGGCCAGGAGUUUGAGACUGACCUCAAACAUAGCAAGACCGUAUCUCUUAAAAAAAAUAAUAAAUAAAUAAAAAUAAUAACAAUAAAAUAAUUAGCUGGGCAUGGAGAUCUGAGUUACUUCGGAGGCUAAGAUGAGAGGAUUUCUUGAGUCCAGGAGUUCAAGGCUGCAGUGAGCCAAAAAUCACAACACUGCAUUUCAGCCUGGGUGACAGAGCAUGACUCUGAAUCUAAAAUUAAAUAAAUAAUCACAUACCACAAAUUUUACUCUUUAAAGUGCAUAAUUCAGUAACUUUUUAGCAUAUUCAUAUAUACGUGCAAUGAUCACCACUAUUUAAUUUUAGAAUACUUUUGGAGAGAAAGUGGAGCAAGAUGACCAAACAGAAGACUCCACUGAUUAUCCUCCCCAAAGGAACACCAAAUUGAACAACUAACCACACAAGAAAAAGGACCUUCAUGAGAACCAAAAAUUAGAGAAGUGUGGAAAAGGAUGUCAAUGCUCCCCAUGUCAUAACAUGCAUGCCAGAAGACCUAAAUAAUCUGAGUUUUGUGGAUACAGACAUAAUAUGAAGAUAUGCAAGAUUUCUCAAAGUUGAAGACACCUUGGCAAAAAGCACCAUGAAUAGAAGCGUAUGGCCAAAGGCCAGGUGUGAGAAACGGUAUCACAGCAGGUGCCAAUAGAGGAAAGAGUGAAGCUGCCAUUUGGCUGACCAGGUAAAUUGUUUACACUGAUACCAAACAAGCUCUCCAAUAAAGAAGAUGUCUCAUCAUGGAGAAAGGGAGAAAACAAUGCUAAAUUAUAUGAGAUUCCUUCUAAAAGGCCUAACCGCCUGCAGGUUGGUUAGGUGGCUCUGCUGAUCUUGACUUGCUGGCUUAUAUGUCUGGGUGUUGGCUAGCUGUUGACUGAUCUAGUAUGUACUCAGCCGGAGUGAAGUGGGUGUCCCAGCCUGUUCCAUAGCUCUCAUUCUCCAGGAGACUAGCUCAGGCAUAUUCUCAUAACACUGAUGUAAGAGCAAGAGAGGAACCAGAAGCUCAUAUGCUGAUUUGUGAUCCUCUGCAAGCGUCACAUUUGCUAACAUCCUUUUUGACCAAAACAUCUCAUGGCUAGACUCAGUAUUAAGAUGUGGAAAAAAUAGACUCCAGCACUUCAGGGAAAAUAAUGGAACAGUCACAUGACACAUAGGCAAGUGGUAGUAAGGAGGCUACAGAAAGUGAGGGGAGAUUGGAACUCUUAAAGCACUCAAUCUACUAAGGGAAGGAAAGGGAAAAGGGCUGGGAGGAUUUGAAAGGCCGACCCAAAGUGGUAGUACAUAGGUAUUUAAUUAAGAAAUAAGCAGUAAUAAAGAACAGUGAAAAUGUUCAGAUGUAGAGAUCAAAGUAUUUUAAAUUUCCAUCUCCCAUUAGAAAUCUAGACCUAGAGGAAAUCCUCAGAACCAUUUUGUUCACUCCUAAUUAAAUAUCCAUUAAGAGAAAAUUCAUAUCCUCUGUCUGCUUCAGACUGUUUAGUGUUUGAGUGGUCAUUGUCCAUUUUUCCCUAACAUGAAAGUAUCAUUAUUUAUUUCCUUUAAGCACUUUCUUUUCUCUGCUAAGCUGGAGCUAUAAUCCCACAUUGAAUUUAAAAACCACUUCCUUUUUUGAUCAGCUGCAUCAAUUUUUUAACCAGUCUAUCCCCAGACAUUUCUGUCUGCAAAACUUUGAUCGUUUAUGUAGGCUUACCUAAUAUAUCAGUUUCCCCCUGAAUAUGUUUUAGAUAUAAGAAGAAAAAUGAAGCUGAGUGUACUAAUAAGAACCUGUUCACUGUGGCAAAAAGUUGAAAGAUUGCAUUCAUUCUUGCCAGACAUGCUCUUCACAUAACCUAGGAUCAAAUGAACAAACUAGCAGUCUCAUUACCAGGGUGUUUAUAAAACUUGAGAUCCACUCUGGCUCUUGGAUCUUUCUCUGCUGUCUUUAUGCAAAAGAAGGCACUCCUCAUCUUGACUGAUAUAAUAUUCCCCCAAAUUAGGGAUCACCUUUCAUUAAUUAAGAGUGAAACAUUGACUUAACUUUGUAUAUUCAGAUUCCAGUUUACUUACAGGCAUCCGUGAACUUCACGCUGAAUUACCAAUCCUAUAACCCAAAUCCUAAAGAAAAAUGAAGGCUGAUGUUAUUUUUACUGGAGGAAUCGCUUUCUGUAGAACAAUUACUUAAUUUUGUGAGCACCCCUUUUCUCAUUUUUCUGGAGUAAAGUACCUUUGCCAUACUUUUUUUGUGUGUGUGUGAGGCAGGGUCUUGCUUUGUCACCCAUGCUGGAGUGCAGUGGUGUGAUCAUGAUCACAGCCUCAAUCUCCCAGGCUCAAGCAAUCCUCUUGCCUCAGGCUCCCAAGUAGCUGGGACCAUAAGGUACAUGCCACUACACCAAGCUAUUACUUUAUUUUUUUAGCAACAGGGCCUCGCUUUGUUGCCCAGGCUGGUCUUGAAUUCCUGGCCUCAAGCAAUUUUCCUGCCUCAGCCUCCCAAAAUGCUGGGAUUAUAGGCAUGUGCUGCCAUGCUUGGCUUACUUUCUUCUUUCUUCAAGUCAAGACCAGUCUGGGCAAUAAAGCAAGGCUCUGUUUCUACAAAAAAUAAAAUUAGCCAGGUGUGGUGGCAUGUGCUUGUGAUCCCAGCUACUUAGGAGGCUGAGGCAAGAGGAUCCCUUGCUCCUGGGAGGUAGAGGCUGUAGUGAGCUAUGAUCACACCACUGAACUCCAAUUUAGAAAUGAGUGUCCUAAAGAAAAAAAAUAAAAAUCUUUUGCCUAAGGCAGAAAAUAGACAAUUAAAAGGAUAAUUGCAAUUUCAUAGAAAACAUCCUGUAGUGGAGAUUUAUCUGGAUUUUUAACCAAUGGUUUUAGUUAUUAGAAAGAGUUAGAGAACCUGUCCUACUUAGUGUCAGGGUGGAAGCAGACACAGUGAAGAGGGAAUGAUUUCUGAAUUGUGUUUUUUAAAGAAUAAAUCAGGUAUAGAUAGCAUAGUGAAGAAAACCCUUAUGCAGUGGCAUAAGGGUUAAAGAGAUCAUUCUUGUUUUUAUUGUUAAUGUGGUUGGCUACAUCGUGAGAAUUGUGUGUUUUUUGUUUUUUUUUUUUUAGAUGGAGUCUCACUCUGUCACCCAGGCUGGAGUUCAAUGGUGCAAUCUCUGCUCACUGCAUCCUCUGCCUCCCGGAUUCAAGCAAUUCUCCUGCCUCAGCCUCCUAAGUAGCUGAGAUUACAGGCACCUGCCACCACACCCAGCUAAUUUUUGUAUUUUUAGUAGAGAUGGGUUUCACCAUGUUGUCCAGACUGCUCUUGGACUCCUGACCUCAGGUGAUCCACCUGCCUUGACCUCCCAAAGUGCUGGGAUUACAGGCAUGAGCCACUGUGCCCAGCCCACUGAUAGAGUUUUGAAUAUUGGACCUCAUUGCAUUUCUGGAACAAAUACCAUUUGGCUGUGGUUCAUUAUUCCUUUACUAUCAUUGUUCACUUAUAUGUUGAUGGGUUUGGAUUUUCUAAUAUUUUGUUGGGUUUUUUUUUUCUAUCUUCAUAAGAGAUAUUGGUAUGUAGGUUUCUUUUCUUAAAUUGUCUUUGUCUGCUUUUGGUGUUGCAGUAAUGCUGGCUAAUACUGAGAAGUGUUUUUCCUCUUCUGUUUCCUGGAAUAGAAUUGGUGUCAUUUUUUCCAAAAUGUUUGUAGGAUUUGCCAGUGACACUAUUGGACCUGGAGACUUACUUGUGGGGAUUUUAAACAAUAGAUUACAAUUCCUUAACAGUUUAGGGCUUAAUAGGCUAUCUAUUUCAGUUUGAAUGAGUUUUGAACAUUAGUGAUUUUGAGGAAUUGGUCCAUUUCAUCUGAGUUUCAAAUGUACGUAUACAGAGUUGUUUGCAGUAGUUCUUCAUCUUUUUAAAGCCUGUGGGUAUUUGUAAUGUAUUUUCUCUUUUAUUCUUGGUAUUGGUAAUUUAUAUCUUCCCCCUCUGUUUCUGUCAUUUUUCUUAGAAAUUUAGCCAUCUUAUUUUUUUUUUCAAACAGACAACUCUUUGGUUUGAUUUUUUUUUUCUGUUUUUGGAUUGUUUGUUAGUUUUCAAUUUUACUAAUUUUGUUAUUUUCUUUAUUAUUUCCUCCUUUCUUUGAGUUUACUUUGCUCUUGUAUGGCUAAGCAGUAGGAAGAUUAGAAGGGAAAAAUGAUAAAUUCAUCUCUAGUUUGGUGGCAUUUUAAAUUCUAGUAUUCUUUUCUAAUCUGCCUGCUACUAAUUAUCCUUCAAAGUUCUCAAUUCCAUGUAUGCUCCUCAGAGUUCUUGGCUGUGUUCAAUGAGAGAUACAAGUAGACUUUUAUUUGCUACUCAAACACCAUAAGUGGUGUUUCUGUUCAUGAUGUGAUUUUUCUAAACACUGAACAGACUAAGCCAAGUCACAGAGUACCUGAAUUCACAUGAUAGGAACAUUCCAAUAAAAGAUAGUAUAUAUUAAAACUAUUUGCAUUGUAUAUUUAACAGUUCAGUUCUAGACUCAGAUAACUCCAAAUAGGACUUUUGUCUGUUUAAAUAUUUUACAAGAUAAUAAAAAAUUAUGAGAAAGUAGAACAAUUUUUAUUAUGUAUUAUUUUCUUAUGAAAUUAUUGUGAAAACUGACAGUACCCCACUAGAUUCCAAAAAAUGCCCCCUGUAGGGUAGAACUGGCCCAUUGAAAAGCCCUGCUCUAUAUCACUGCUGUCUAGAACUGUCUACAAUGAUGAUGUUCUGUUUCUGUACCAUCCAAUAAUAUAGUAGCCACUAGCCACAUUUUGCUGUUGAUUAUUUGAGAUCUGCCUAGCAUGUCUGAAGGACUAAAUUUUUAAUUUAAUUUUAAUUAAUUUAAGUUUAAAUGGCCUUAUUUGGUUGGUGGCUUUUGUAACUGAAAGCAUAUUUAGAGAUAUGAGGUGACAUGUUUGAAUAGCAUAGAAGGCAGACAGAGGGAAUAGCUAUAGUAGAUAUAGGCAGAACAUGGAUUUUGGAUACAAAAAGUACUAACCUGAGAUCCUAGCAUUGUCAAUUCCAAGCUAAUAAAGGUAAAGAUAAAUUGUGGAAAUGCUAAACUAUCUUACAAAUCUGAGCCAUGACAGAAGGCCUUCUCAAUUCUGUAUUUUUGUAAAUGUAUCAUUGACCUUAAACAGAGUACUGUAACUUUGUCUUUAUUAGUUAAUGUCUUACUUAGCUGAGCACAUCAUUCAUAUCUGUUAAUAUGAUUUUGAAUCUUGAAUGUGUCCUCCAAAGGAUUAGCUAUUCUUCUAGUUUUGUGUCAGGCAUAAACUUAAUACUUUCAUUACUUAAUGCUUUUAUUCAAGAAGGUUAUAAAUUUGUUGAAUUUGAAACAGACAGGAAUAUAUUGUUUUGCAAUAGCAUCAGAAGCCUUCUUUCUUGAGGGCCCUGUUCCCUUGGACAAUCCCAAAUCUUCCAUUUUUCAUCUUGACCUCAAGGAUGUCAAGGAAUUUAUCACCGAAUACUUUGUUGAAAUAAAAAUACACUAGCUCUAGACAUAGACUGCUACUUCUGUUAAAAAAGAGAAAUGAGAUAUAUUUGGUAGGAUUCGUUCCAAAGAGGUAAAUAUUAUCCCAAUUUUAUAAAUGAGAAAACUGAGACACAACAAGAUUAUUUUGUCUGCUUAAGGUAAAAUAGCUAGGAAAUAGUGGAACAGGAUAUAAAAAUCACGAAUACUUGACUCCAAAACCUGUGAUAUUUCUGUGAUAGGCAGCCUUUAACAUGGCCCCCAAUGAUCCAAUUAAUGGUGCCAAUUAAUGAAUGAUACCUCCUGGUAUUCACAGUCUUGUGGGAUCCCCUGUCCCUGAGUGACUUGCCUUAAAAUAAUAGAAUAUCAUAACAUAAUCAAUUUAGAUGCAGACAUGCAAAGAUGCAUAGUCUAAUUUGACACUUGAAAAAAAAACUGAGGUUCACAGGAUUGUCAGAAUUUACUCUUGUAAUUAAUUAUACCCAGUAGCUGAAUUGGAAUCAAAUCUAGAUUUUUACUUUUAGAUUUUGCAUUAUAAAAUAAAAUGUAAAAAAGCCACCCAAACAAAUAAAUUAACAAAUUGUUAGAAGGUGAAUAGCCUUGCAUUCCUCACCUCGGUAAAAAGAUAGAACAUUGCCCUUCACCUCAGAAGUCUUCUCCAUGUGUCCCAUCCUCAAAUACUCAUUUCUCUGCUAACUUUUGAUUUUUUAGAGAUGGUCUCACUCUGUCUCCCAGGCUGGAGUGCAGUGGCACAAUCUUGGCUCACUGCAACCUCUGCCUCCCAGGUUCAAGUUAUUCUCCUGCCUCAGCCUCCAAAGUAGGUGGGACUACAGGCAUGUGCUACCAAGCCCAGCUAAUUUUUUGUAUUUUUAGUAGAAUCGGGGUUUCAGCAUGUUGGCCAGGCUGGUCUCGAACUCCUGACCUCAAGUGAUCCGUCCACCUCGGCCUCCCAAAAUGUUGGGAUUAUAGGCGUGAGCCACUGCGCCUGGCCUGCUCUGCUAACUUUUAUAUUAACCACUUCCUUGCAUUUCUUUAUGGUUUUAGCACUCAAACAGUGCAUCCCUAGACAGUAUACUUUAGUAUUGCCUCUAAAAAAUUUGUAUCUUUUCUUGUACCUCCUUGAUAUCCUGUAGGUAUAUUCUAUUAGAAGCCUUGCUGAAUUUGGACAACAAUCAUUAAAAGUUCUAUAAUUGUCCUAAAAGUUGUCAAAAUUUCAACUUCUAGUAUUUAAUCUCAAAUAACUAAUCAUGAAUAUUUUUAAAACAUUUAGUCUAAAUUGUACUUUCUAUUUCUUAAUAGUAAAAAUUUGGAAAUGGCUUAAAAGUUAAACAGAAAAAUUGUAAAAAUAUUUAUGAUACACAUAGUGUAAUGUUGUGUAGCUAUAAAAAAUUUUUUGUAAAAAAAGUGUUACUUAGAUGUGUUCUUAUAUAUUCAUGUACAUAUUAACUUAUUCAUGUACAUAUUAUAACUUAACUUAUUCAUGUACAUAUUAUAUUUAAAUUAUGUGUGAUGUAUUUUUAUUAUGGCAUUUCAUUUACAUAUGAUUUACGUAUACUAAACUGACAUAUUAUAUAUUUUUUUGCUUUACUUGUAAGUAUAAGAGCAUGUUACAAAUAGCAUAUGUAGUGUGUUACUAUUUUUGCUAAAAAUUAUAUAUAUAUAAAGAUGGGAAGAAAAUAUAAGAAAAUAAUAAUGUUUACUUGCAUAAAAUUCAUUUCUUUAACUUUCUCUGUUCUGUGCUCAUCUAUUAUUUUGCUAAAUUUUUAAAGAGCUUAUACUACUUCUGUAAUUAGAAAAACAUAGAUUUAUUAAAAAGUAAUAUAUAUGAAAAGAGAGACAAUGAGCCUUGGUUUAUAUCUUGAUGCUACUGCUCUAGCUUUUCACUCUGUCACUGACAUGAACCCCCAGCAUUCUUUUUGAACAGAAAACAGCAAAUACUUAGUUAAAACUAAAAAUCAAGACUUUUAUCCAUGUAAGUAAAGUAUAGCUUAAUUUUAAACUUCCUGUAUGCUGUGUGGGGAGAACAACUGUAUACAACCCCCUAUAUUGAGCAAAGACACAUGUGCAUGCCCCUAACUACAUACAGCUCUUUCUGCAUCUGCUUCCUAAUAGAAUGCCCUAGCAACAUCAAUGACAAGUUAUGCUUGAGGGCUUUCUCAAUCAUUUCAGAAAUGUCUUCGGGAUGGAGUAGACCCUGGAGGAGAAUUUCUUCCCAUCAGACACUAUUUUUUUUGUUGUUGUUGUUGAGAUGAAGUCUCAUUGUGUUGCCAGGCUGGAGUGCAGUGGCGUGAUCUCAGGUCACUGCAACCUCCAACCUCCUGGUUCAAGCGAUUCUCCUGCCUCAGCCUCCCGAGUAGCUGGAAUUACAGGCAUGCACCAUGAUGCCCAGCUAAUUUUUGUAUUUUUAGUAGAGAUGGAGUUUCAUCAUGUUGGCCAGGAUGGUGGUCUAGAUCUCCUGACCUCGUGAUCUGCCUGCCUUGGCCUCUCAAAGUGCUGGGAUUACAGGCAUGAGCCACUGCGUCUGGCCCCCAUCAGACACUCUUGAUGGGGAUGCUUCAGGAGAUAAAUCUGGAGGUCAGUCUUAGGAGUACAAUCUGUGAUAAGCACUAUGGCAAGAAAUUGGAGCUUAAGCAUUAGUUAAGAGGAUCACUAGCAAGAGAAAUGCAGGUGAAUGUCAUUGGCUUGCCAAUUGGAAAGGCUAGACCAGCUUUUAUUCUGAGUUGGGGGCCAGUUGGUAGGAAGGAUGUGGCAAAGGCAAAGUGAGGGCGGGUGCCCCGGGGCUGGAGUAGAGCUACUCUCAUGUUUGAGACUGUGUUCCCGAAAACUAAAAACGGCACUGAACUUCUGAUAAUCAGGCCAAACAAAAUCAACUCAAUGUGUCUGAAAGACUUUUCUAGGUGCACAUUUCUGAAUAUCUACUUUUGUUUUUCAGCCCCCACCUUCUUUUAACUUAUGACUCCUAUUUUAUAUGUGGAAAUUGGGCUGUCAAUUGAUGUGGUUAAAGAGAGAAAAAAAGAGAGAGACAGAAGAGAGGGGGAGAGGGAAAAAAACAGCUUUAGUUAUAUUAGAAAUCUAGGCAGAACUUCAUUUUAACUGGUCCCUUCUACUUUUGUAGGCUAGAUGUUUCUAUAGUAACCCUCAUGAAACUGUUCAUCAUACACAGAUCUUAUAGUCUAUGACAAAAUUUCUUUGGCUUUUUUUCUUUUUGGCUGGAGAGAGUAACCUAUGAGCAACCUCAACACACAAGAAUGAGAAGUUACUUCUGUUUUGAUGUUUUUUUCCUAAAUGAUCUAAGCAAACAGGGCUAUGGCAGAGAGCACAUCUCACUAAGGCCAACUUGGUAGCAGGCCACCUUGAUGCUAUCAAUUUUGCAAUCCCAGCUGGUGUUCCUGUACAGUUUUAAGAGAAGGCUCUGUGCAUGGCCCUUAUGAACUCCCCACUGCUUGCUGAGGUGGAUUAAAAGAUGCAAACUCACUGAAAUACGCCAAAGAAUAUAAUGGUCUCUACAGAAGAUCUGGCUGUGUCAUCCAACAAAAGGUUCCAGCUGUGGCAGCCGUGUGGAACAAAGGGAACUCUUGGCUUAAUGUGGAGUGCAUGCUUCUGACGUUCCAGUUCAGCAGAAGGCAAUGGGACAAUGGGGAAGAACAUAAGCAUUGAAGUUGAUGGAAUGAAGAAAAUGUUCUGAAUUGAUUUUUUAAGUGAAUACAUUUAAUUUUAUUAACUUGAUUAUGUAAGGCCACCAUUACAUUAGUCAUACAUGUAGCCUAUUUAUGUGCAUAAAAAAUUCUCUGAUAAAUAUUUAAUGCCAGCUGACAGAGUGCCUCAAGGAUUCAAGGAAAGAAAAGAAAUAUUUCAACUACUUAAAAGAAAAUAUUCUAUCUCUAUUAUCCUUUCUUGUCUUUCCAUUGAACACAUUGAACCUCUCUUUCUUUUUCUGUUUUCAGUUCUCUUCCCC
rnacentral:lncRNA from 10 species